UCUAGAUGUAAGACACAGUUUCUCCAUCGGUAUUCGUCAACUGAAGCGACUGUUAAGAAGAAUGAAUUUACGUCGUCGUGGUGCUUCAAAUAUCCAAGUGGUCCGGCGAGCAGUACAGGAAGAACUAAAUGGCAGUGGUGCCUAUCUCGGAUGUAGGUCAAUGCGGUCGCGGCUGCAGUCGUCGUAUGGCCUAUCAGUACCAAG